rnacentral:rRNA from 1 species
GACGAACGCUGGCGGCGUACUUAACACAUGCAAGUCGAACGAUGAACCCGGAGCUUGCCCCGGCGGAUUAGUGGCGAACGGGUGAGUAACACGUGAGUAACCUGCCCUUGACUCUGGGAUAACUGCGGGAAACUGUAGCUAAUACCGGAUACGACCCUCGGCGGCAUCGCCAGGGGGUGGAAAGAAUUUCGGUCAAGGAUGGACUCGCGGCCUAUCAGCUAGUUGGUGAGGUAACGGCUCACCAAGGCGACGACGGGUAGCCGGCCUGAGAGGGUGACCGGCCACACUGGGACUGAGACACGGCCCAGACUCCUACGGGAGGCAGCAGUGGGGAAUAUUGCACAAUGGGCGCAAGCCUGAUGCAGCAACGCCGCGUGAGGGAUGACGGCCUUCGGGUUGUAAACCUCUUUUAGUAGGGAAGAAGCGAAAGUGACGGUACCUGCAGAAAAAGCACCGGCUAACUACGUGCCAGCCGCCGCAGUAA